CACGCCGUAANCGAUGAGUGCUAGGUGUUAGGCCCUUUCCGGGGCUUAGUGCCGGAGCUAACGCAACAAGCACUCCGCCUGGGGAGUACGACCGCAAGGUUGAAACUCAAAGGAAUCGACGGGGGCCCGCACAAGCGGUGGAGCAUGUGGUUUAAUUCGAAGCAACGCGAAGAACCUUACCAGGUCUUGACAUCCCGAUGCUAUUCUUAGAGAUAGGAAGUUACUUCGGUACAUCGGAGACAGGUGGUGCAUGGUUGUCGUCAGCUCGUGUCGUGAGAUGUUGGGUUAAGUCCCGCAACGAGCGCAACCCUUAUUGUUAGUUGCCAUCAUUAAGUUGGGCACUCUAGCGAGACUGCCGGUAAUAAACCGGAGGAAGGUGGGGAUGACGUCAAAUCAUCAUGCCCCUUAUGACCUGGGCUACACACGUGCUACAAUGGUCGGUACAACGAGUUGCGAGCCGGUGACGGCAAGCUAAUCUCUGAAAGCCGAUCUCAGUUCGGAUUGGAGGCUGCAACUCGCCUCCAUGAAGUCGGAAUCGCUAGUAAUCGCGGAUCAGCACGCCGCGGUGAAUACGUUCCCGGGCCUUGUACACACCGCCCGUCACACCACGAGAGUUUGUAACACCCGAAGUCGGUGAGGUANCCUUUUAG
rnacentral:rRNA from 1 species